rnacentral:ncRNA from 1 species
CAUAAUUGAGAGGACCUUUCUGUAAUACAAAAGGAUCGGGAAGGAUGCACUAUUAGUUGCGAAGUGCAAAACAAAUAAUUGUUGACAACAUCUAAAUAAUAAACUCCCCUCAAUAUGAGUUUUG